rnacentral:rRNA from 1 species
AGCAGCCGCGGUAAUUCCAGCUCCAAUAGCGUAUAUUAAAGUUGUUGCAGUUAAAAAGCUCGUAGUUGAAUUUCGGGAUCAAUACGUCGGUCGUGCUUCGGUACGUACUGGUGUCAUUGAUUUCUCCCUUCUGACGAACCAUGAUGUCAUUAACUUGGUGUCAUGGGAAAUCAGGACUGUUACUUUGAAAAAAUUAGAGUGUUUAAAGCAGGCUCACGCUUGAAUACAUUAGCAUGGAAUAAUGAAAUAGGACGUCCGAUCCUAUUUUGUUGGUUUCUAGGAUCAACGUAAUGAUUAAUAGGGAUAGUUGGGGGCAUUAGUAUCCAAUUGUCAGAGGUGAAAUUCUUGGAUUUAUUGAAGACUAACUACUGCGAAAGCAUUUGCCAAGGAUGUUUUCAUUAAUCAAGAACGAAAGUUAGGGGAUCGAAGACGAUCAGAUACCGUCGUAGUCUUAACCAUAAACUAUGCCGACUAGGGAUCGGAUGAUGUUAAUUAUUUAAUGACUCAUUC